GCCGGGUGUGGUGGCUCACGCCUGUAAUCCAAGCGCUUUGGAGGCCAAGGUGGGCGGAUCACCUGAGGUCGGGAGUUCCAGACCAGCCUGACCAACAUGGUGAAACUCCGUCUUUAAAAAAAAAAAAAGAAACGUGGUAGCACCAUGUUGACCAGGCUGGUCUCGAACUCCUGACCUCAGGUGAUCCACCCACCUU
rnacentral:SRP_RNA from 1 species